UAGGGAGUAUGUUCUCAAGAAUGAAACUCGAAGGAAUUGACGGGGGCUCGCACAAGUGGUGGAGCAUGUGGUUUAAUUGGAUGCGAAGCAAAGAACCUUACCAAGGCUUAACAUGUCCCGAAUCCUCUUAAAAGAGAGGGUUGCCUUCAAGAACGCGGACACGGGUGGUGCAUGGCUGUCGUCAGCUCGUGUCUUAAGGUGUUGGGUUAAGUCUCGCAAUGAGUGCAACCCUCGUGUUUAGUUUCCAACAUUGAGUUAGGAACCCUGAGUAGAUUGUCGGUGAUAAGCCAGAGGAAGGUGAGGAUGACGUAAAAUCAUCAUGCCCCUUAUGCCCUGGGUGACACACGUGCUACAGUGGACAGGACAAAGGGUCACGAUCCUGCGAGGGUGAGCUAACUCCAAAAACCUGUCCUCAGUUCAGAUUGCAGGCUGCAACUCAUCUGCAUGAAGCCAGAAUCGCUAGUAAUCACCGGUCAGCCAUAUGGCGGUGAAUUUGCUCCCGGGCCUUGUACACACCGACCAUCACACUAUGGGAGCUGGCCAUACCCGAAGUUGUUACCUUAACCGUAAGAAGGGGAAGCCGAAGGCAGGGCUAGUGAUUGGAGUGAAGUCAUAACAAGGUAGCAGCAUGCUU
rnacentral:ncRNA from 1 species